AUUCACUUCAUUAGCACAUAUACUAAAAUUGGAACAAGACAGAGAAGAUUAGCAUGGCCCUUGUGCAAGGAUGACACACAAAUUUGUAAAAUGGUCCAUAUUUAA